CGGGCGGAAAUGACGAGGAUUAGAGCCGAAAAUAUCUGAACGGCAAGCGGCCCCCUCUGCUCCAGGGGUGCGUUGCCAGCGGGGACUCGGAAGGGAGCGAGAGGCGCCGCGAGAAAGCCCCUGUUCCUCUGGCUGCCGGGGAGUCACCGAGAGGAGAGGGCCAAGCCGUGCGGUCCCCGUCCCCUUCCCCUCCCUUCCCCUCCCUCAUCUCGGAGGAGGCGAGAGCGCGUGUGCGUGUGUGCCAGCUCCGGAGCCAGCGCGGUCCAGAGGCAGCAGCGAUCAACAUUCGGAUGCUGAGCAAAUGGGUCCUCCGAAAGAACCGUUGUUUCUUGGCUGCUGCUUGUUCAAUAGGUGAUGGAUGGGAGAAGAAGAUGAAGAACGAAAGGGGGGGGGAGAGACGAGAGAUGAUUACAUAUAUUUUCAAACUGUUGCAAUACAAGGAGUCUUGUCUUUUGCUCAUAUGAACUCUUUCCCAGGUAGAUGCUGUCCCUGGAGAAUAUCUUUCCGGACAGAGCCUGUUGCUGCGAUUUAACAUUAAUUUCAUUGCAAUAGCUUACUAAAAGUAGGAUGAGGGAAGAUUGCUUCUUGAAGUGCCAGCAACACCUUUUACUGCAAGCCAAUUGCCUGCCCCUUCCUGUGUUAAGACAGAAGACUUGUCAAUUUCAGUGAGACUGACUUACAUUAAAUUAUAGCAGUUAGUUUUUAAGGUACCACAAGUCUCUCCCACCCUUUUUUGUUGUUCUUGUUUUGUUUUGUUUUGUGUUUCUUGUUGGAAUGACUUUCCUAAAAGGUUCUAUUAGAUCAGGGAGAAGAGGAGGCUUGAUCAAAGAUGAACAAGGAUAGAGGACUGAAAAGUAGAAGUGAUAAUAUUAGAAGGCAGUUUGCGCAGCAGGAAACAUGAACACUUGGAAAAUAUGCUCAGAAGGAAACUGCAAAGCUGUUGCAAAGAGAAGAGGAAGAAGCCGCAAUAAAUAGUGAAGGUUUUACUCAAAGGGCAAAGCAUGGUGGGAAUGACUGCUGGAAGAAGAAAAUAAAGCCUCUCUGCUUUUCCCUGA